GCCUGCCCAGUGAACAAUUAAACGGCCGCGGUACCCUAACCGUGCAAAGGUAGCGUAAUCAUUUGUCUACUAAUUAUAGACCAGUAUGAAAGGCAAAAUGAGGAUCUGUCUGUCUCUUAUAAUAAAUCAAUUAAACUGAUCUCCUAGUAAAAAAGCUAGAAUACCCACAUAAGACCAGAAGACCCUGUGAAGCUUAAACUAAACUAUUAAACCCCAUAAUACUUACUUUCGGUUGGGGCGACCCUGGAAAAAAAAAGAACUUCCAAAUACAUGACUACAACUCACACACCGGCCCACAAGCCUACAAACCACGACCCAGUAUUACUGAUAAUUGAACCAAGUUACUCCAGGGAUAACAGCGCCAUCCUCUUCAAGAGUCCAUAUCAAAAAGAGGGCUUACGACCUCGAUGUUGGAUCAGGACAUCCUAAUGGUGCAGCCGCUAUUAAGGGUUCGUUUGUUCAACGAUUAAUAGUCCU
rnacentral:rRNA from 1 species